UACGGGGGGUGCGAGCGUUGUCCGGAAUCACUGGGCGUAAAGGGCGCGUAGGUGGCGUCGUAAGUUUGUGGUGAAAGCCCGGAGCUCAACUCCGGGUCUGCCGCGAAUACUGCGAGGCUUGAGUACUGUAGAGGGGGGUAGAAUAUCGGGUGUAGCGGUGGAAUGCGUAGAGAUCCGAUAGAAGACCGGUGGCGAAGGCGGCCCCCUGGGCAGUAACUGACACUGAGGAGCGAAAGCGUGGGUAGCAAACAGG
rnacentral:rRNA from 1 species